AAGCACAUGCGUCAAAAUUCAAAAUACUCUUUCAAGUUGGUAGCAUUUAUCUUUUCAGCGACGUAAAUUCGGUCUUUCAUUAUACGUCCGUCUCGAGAAGUAGGUGUCCAUUGGGAUCCUCCUUUUUGAACCCAUCUUGAAAACAUGAGAGCUAAGUGGAGGAAGAAGCGUAUGCGAAGGUUGAAGCGUAAACGCAGAAAGAUGCGUGCAAGGUCCAAGUAAAUUGUACCAGGUUUUCACGGGUACGGAUUUCUUAAUAUCUCUCCAGAGAAUGUAAUCAAUCGAAUCAAAAUUUGCUCGUUUGAAUAAAUUACUUUUCAUGGAGUAAAA